rnacentral:tRNA from 2 species
UGGGGUGUAGCUCAAUGGUAGAGCACUUGCCUAGCACAUAUGAGGCACUGGGUGCAACCCUCAGCACCACAU